CCUCAUUUGCUGUCUACCAGCACUGAGUACAGACGGAAUCUCUUCAAUCUGCCUAUAAUUCACCAAGAUGGCCCCAAAACGUCCUUCAUCUUCUGCAUGUGGGGUUAUUUUUGAUAAAGUGGUUAAGCUCAGAAGAUGAUUGUGAUUGACUGUGGUGAAGGCAGUGACACAGUAGUGGCAGCGCCAGGAUGCGGGGAAUGCAGGAACCAAGGAACGUGAGUGUAGUCCUUAAACUCAGAAUCUCACCCAGGCGAGGAGGAAGGCCGGCCAAGGCACAGCUCUGGCAGCGGAAUGCGCAACGAACACUAUUAACACCUAUACGAUUCUUUACACUUUUGAAGUACACCUAAGGUGAAUCUUGACUGAAAUCAGAUGAUCAAUGUUAAUUUGCAGCUACAUCAACUAUAAAAGACAAAUGAUAGCAUCUAUGUACUUACAUUAUGUAGAAAGUAAUAAUUCCACUAACAAAAGUACAAGAUAAACAAUACAUUAAGAAUAAAAGCGUCCUACAUUCCUUCACUAGUAUAUGGCAAUUAACACAUCUACUGACGUAAUGAACUUAACACUGAUCUUGAACAAAAGAAUGGGUGAAUGGAGGCCCGAGUACCUCGGCAGACAUGAAGCGGUAAUGUCUUUAUAUGAUUUGGUACUUAUGCUUCUUGUUAGCUGAUGGAAUGAAGAAUAUCUUAGAGAGAGAGAGAGAGAGAGAGAGAGAGAGAGAGAUGGACUUAUUGAUUAAUAUGAUAGUGCCUCAUAACUUUGUCCUACCACAUGAGCAAGCAAAGCUUGCUGUUAAGUAAGCAUGAUGGAAAACCAGGGAAGAAUAACAUACCUGCUGCGUGCAAUCUGAAGCAGGACAUAUCGCGACGUGACUGGUGAUGAGUGGGCUCAUCAUGACAAGAUUAAAUUAAUGUUCCUGAUAGCCACUCUAUUUAUGACUUAAGUGCACAUGUGAAAUAAGUCAACUUUAAGAGAGCGCCGCUACCAUAUCUUUGAAACCGCUAAAGCUAUUUCCGCUACCUUAGCCAGCUGAAACUACUAUUGCUACUAUAGCUACUUUUACAAUAUCGCGAAAACCGCUGCCUGCUACUUAGCUCUCGCUACAUCACGAACAUCUAAAGAUCUCCGAUUACAAUUAUCUUUAUCUAUAUAUACAUCACAUCUAUAACUCAUAAUGCACAUCCACGGAAUAACAUAUAAUUCAAAUAAAAGCAUUUAAAGACAUUUAUGAUUCAUAUCUUUAAGAAGUAGGUAUAUAGGCAAAUAUAAGAGCUGGAAAAAUAUAGCUAUGUUCCUAUACUUUUGAUCAAUAACGACUCUACUCGAUAAGGCCAGAAUUCUUGAAGUAGUACAUGCCAUAACAUAGUUGAGGAAUUAAGGUCUUCAAUCAUCAUCUACCGUAAAACACAAGUAAUUCAAGUGUUAUCACUGUUCUCCAUUCAGUUAAGGCUUUAAACAAAACUUUGUAAAUAGCAAAACCCCAGACACUAAAUUGAGAAUAACAUGACCGAAAGUUAACAUAGGCCAGCUGAUGUGAUAUGGAUCUCCGCCAAAAUAAUAUGAUGAAAAUAUAUAUAUACCAUAAAAAGCAUGGAAUUUCUAAGAAAAUUGUUAGAACAUA